AUUGAACGCUGGCGGUAGGCCUAACACAUGCAAGUCGAACGAGUGGCGGACUGGUGAGGGAGACAUCGGAAUCUACUCUGUCGUGGGGGAUAACGUGGGGAAACUUACGCUAAUACCGCUAACGAUUGAAUGAGCCGAUGUCGGAUUAGCUAGUUGGCGGGGAAAAGGCCCACCAAGGCGACGAUCCGUAGCUGGUCUGAGAGGAUGAUCAGCCACACUGGAACUGAGACACGGGCCAGACUCCUACGGGAGGCAGCAGUGGGGAAUAUUGGACAAUGGGCGAAAGCCUGACCCAGCCAUGCCGCGUGGGUGAAGAAGGCCUUCGGGUUGUAAAGCCCUGUUGUUGGGAAAGCGGUACCCAAAGAAUAAGCACCGGCUAACUUCGUGCCAGCAGCCGCGGUAAUAC
rnacentral:rRNA from 1 species